rnacentral:rRNA from 1 species
GACUAACGCUGGCGGCGUGCUUAACACAUGCAUGUCGAACUGAAAGGCCCUGCUUUUUUGCGGUACUCGAUUGGCGAACUGGUUAGUAACACGUUAGUAACCUGCCCUUGACUUUGUGAUAACUUCAGGGAACUUGCGCUAAUACCGGAUAGGAGCUCCUGCUGCAUGGUGUGGUCUGGAAACUUUCGGCGGUUGGGGAUGGACUCGCGGCUUAUCAGCUUGUUGGUGGGGUAGUGGCUUACCAAGGCUUUGACGGGUAGCCGGCCUGAGAGGGUGACCGGCCACGUGGGGACUGAGAUAGGGCCCGGAGUACUAGGGGAGGCAGCAGUGGGGAGUAUUGCGCAAGGGGCGGAAGCAUGAAACAGACACGCCGCGUGCGAGAUGGCGGCCUUCGGGUUGUAAACCGCUUUCGGCUGUGACGAAGCGUGAGUGACGGUACUGGGUAGAGAAGCACCGGCUAACUACGGG